rnacentral:rRNA from 1 species
GACGAACGCUGGCGGCGUGCUUAACACAUGCAAGUCGAACGAAGCUUGAUUACGGAUUCUUCGGAUGAAGUAUGAUAUGACUGAGUGGCGGACGGGUGAGUAACGCGUGAGUAACCUGCCCUUCAGAGGGGGAUAGCGUUUGGAAACGAACGGUAAUACCGCAUGAUGUAUUUUGACCGCAUGAUCGAAAUACCAAAGAUUUAUCGCUGAAGGAUGGACUCGCGUCUGAUUAGGUAGUUGGUGGGGUAACGGCCUACCAAGCCGACGAUCAGUAGCCGGACUGAGAGGUUGAUCGGCCACAUUGGGACUGAGACACGGCCCAGACUCCUACGGGAGGCAGCAGUGGGGAAUAUUGCACAAUGGGCGCAAGCCUGAUGCAGCAACGCCGCGUGAAGGAAGACGGUUUUCGGAUUGUAAACUUCUGUUCUUAGUGAAGAAUAAUGACGGUAGCUAAGGAGCAAGCCACGGCUAACUACGUGCCAGCCGCCGCAGUAACAC